GGAGAAACACAGGAAGCACAAUCCUGCAACAUCUGCAACUGCUCUGCCCUGCUGGGAUUGAACUCUAAUUUUCUACAUAAUAAUGGAGAUGAAUAUUCCUAAAGAUGCAAAUGUAGGACAGGCCUUCACAGAAAACAGUUUUCCAGUACAAUCAUGGGAUACAGAUCAGAACUUAGAGUGUAAACAAGAUCUCACAGCCUCUACAACAAAACUCUGCAUCUGAAAGUGAAGAGGGAGUUAAUUCUGUAGGAAACUGCUGCAUGGCCCUUGAAGGAUGUUCUCUGUUUUAUGGAUUGAUUCUGCUGCUGGGGAACUCAAGGAAAAAAAAAUCCAGUGCCUGGUAAAGUUAUGGAGAAGAU